GGCUGGCGGCAGGGCAGGCUGGGUCGGCGCGGGAGAGCAGGUGGCGGGCGCGCGGCGGUGCCACGUGCGGCGCAAGCUGCGCCACGGCAGCGACUGGAGCCCGCCAAGGGCCUGCGUGCGCGCGUGGCCGGUGGAAGCUCGCUGCUCUUUCCCCCCUGCGGGAUCGAGGGGUGUGCCUCAAAAAAGCGGGGGGGCGUCCCCAGCCCGCAACUGGACACCUCCUCCUAGCACUCACGGAGAGCGAGCGUGGCUCAGAAUGUUCCCAGGGAGAGGGAGGGUUUUGCAAGAUCCUCUGCGGGCGGUGUGCAAUUUCCUAUUGAAUUAUAAACAAACACGUGGCUUUUAAAAAAUGUUCAGUGGGACUGAGGCGAAAACUGGGACGAAAGCUAUGGGGAAAGCACUGCCCAGCAGGCGCUGGGGCAGAGGCCGCCUGUCAGAAUUCCUCCCUGGAUUGGAUGUCUCCCCCAUGGCUCAUUUAACUCUUUGGAGCUAACACUUUACCCUGGCUAUUUACAGAUAAAUAGGGGUUCUUCCUUCAUCCAUUGCCUUAGUGCCUGUCAGCAUCUCUGCUAAAACCUAGAGAACAUUUUUAUAGACAAGGUGGGCACAAACCAGCACUCGAGAUCUGAACAACCUUUGAGAGAGUGUUUGGAACCAGAAUGCAGUCGGAGACCUGAAUGUCCAAGUUUUGGUGUCAAGUUUUCAUCCAGCAAAACAUUGGAGCUGCAUAAAGACAAAUACUAAUAGUGAUCAAUCCAUUCACACCUGAAUGUAGAGUCUUAUGGACUCCAGGAUAAGAGUCGUAUAUGGAUAUCCCCUGAAGUUAGAAAAUUCACAUCCAGGAUUCCUCUCAACCCUGUCUGUGAUGUGUUGACAUCCCUACUGAGUUCAUUUUCUACUCCACAGUUUCUCUUCCAUGAUAGCAAAAUAAACAAGGGUUGUGUGAAAUUGUGACUGCUCUUCCACAAGAUCAAUCCCUAGGUUUUUCACAAUUCAGUUUUGAUAGUUUUAAUGUUGUGAGAAAUCUUGCACGAUGGGGGAAUUUGCAUUGAACACAGUUGAAAAUGUGAAUUUUGUUGUAGGUACAGACUUAGCUUACAAAAAAGGCUUAGUUUGGAUUGAAAUGUUGCCCAUUUUUGGGAGAAAUUUCACUCCUUUGCCUCAAAAAUGGGUCCUCCUUCACUCAAAAAAUGUCUUAUUUCCAAGUGAAACAUUCUUAAACUUGUUGUGACUUUUGUGAAAGGGCAAUUUUAGAGUUCACAAGGAAAUGUAAGUAAGCUCAGUUGUAGAGUGUUUUCAGUUACAUUGCUAAAGUUUCACACAGCUAUAAAAUAAUCAUUUUAACCAUCUA